GACGAACGCUGGCGGCGUGCUUAACACAUGCAAGCCGAACGAAAAGAGGGAAAGAGCUUGCUCUUUCCGGAAUUGAGUGGCAAACGGGUGAGUAACACGUAAACAACCUGCCUUCAGGAUGGGGACAACAGACGGAAACGACUGCUAAUACCGAAUAAGUUCCAAGGGCCGCAUGGCCCAUGGAAGAAAAGGUGGCCUCUACCUGUAAGCUAUCGCCUGAAGAGGGGUUUGCGUCUGAUUAGCUGGUUGGAGGGGUAACGGCCCACCAAGGCGACGAUCAGUAGCCGGUCUGAGAGGAUGAACGGCCACACUGGAACUGAGACACGGUCCAGACUCCUACGGGAGGCAGCAGUGGGGAAUCUUCCGCAAUGGGCGAAAGCCUGACGGAGCAACGCCGCGUGAGUGAUGACGGCCUUCGGGUUGUAAAACUCUGUGAUCCGGGACGAAAAGGCAGAGUGCGAAGAACAAACUGCAUUGACGGUACCGGAAAAGCAAGCCACGGCUAACUACGUG
rnacentral:rRNA from 1 species